GACGAACGCUGGCGGCGUGCUUAACACAUGCAAGUCGAACGAUGAAGCUAGAGCUUGCUCUGGUGGAUUAGUGGCGAACGGGUGAGUAACACGUGAGUAACCUGCCCCGAACUCUGGGAUAACUGCUGGAAACGGUAGCUAAUACCGGAUAUGACCAAUGAAGGCAUCUUCUGUUGGUGGAAAGAAUUUCGGUUCGGGAUGGACUCGCGGCCUAUCAGCUUGUUGGUGAGGUAACGGCUCACCAAGGCGACGACGGGUAGCCGGCCUGAGAGGGUGAUCGGACACACUGGGACUGAGACACGGCCCAGACUCCUACGGGAGGCAGCAGUGGGGAAUAUUGCACAAUGGGCGCAAGCCUGAUGCAGCAACGCCGCGUGAGGGACGACGGCCUUCGGGUUGUAAGCCUCUUUUAGUAGGGAAGAAGCGAAAGUGACGGUACCUGCAGAAAAAGCACCGGCUAACUACGUGCCAGCCGCCGCCGUAA
rnacentral:rRNA from 1 species